rnacentral:tRNA from 1 species
AUUUUGUUAUUAUAAAAAGUAUAUUUAAUUGCAAAUUAAAAGGUUUACAAAAUU